UUUUUUGACUCCGGGUUUUUAGAUAUUUGUAGACAGAUAAAAGUCUGAAAGAAAGACUGAACAAUAAAAUGUAUGGAUGAUAUCUUCUCUUCAAUGCAAGAUUUUUGCAUUACCGAUACUAACAUUAUUUAAAAGGUGCUCUUAUCCUAACGCACAAAUGCAAUAACUUGGUUGUGAUCAAAGAAAUGGCGGCAGUUAGCGAGUUGAGGGUAUCUUGGUUUAGCUGUUGUUUGCCCCAACCCCAAAAAAGACGUCGUCGAAUAGACAGGUCAAUGAUAGGCAAUCCGACAAAUUUCCAACACACUGGACAUAUAGGUAGUCGGGACGUUGAGAUGCCCGGUGACCAGCUAGUAGCCCUCCAAAAUCAAAUGAGAAGCAAAGGCGGUUAUGAACCCCCUUACAAGGAACCGGAUUGGUGCCAAUAGUUCUAUUAAGUCAGCGUGUCAUAUUGUAGGAGAUUUUAUUAUUUAUUUAUUUUAUCGUAUCAUUUUCCUGAGUUAGUUCCAUCGAACUGUAUAUAAUUGUUAAGAGCAAAUGUUUUGAUAUUUUUUUUAUUGUUUCUAGUAACAAUGAUUUAACAGAUGUUUUAUAGUAUUAUGACCUUUAUUUGGAAUUCAAAAUUCCUUGUUCUUAUUGGCAUGUGCAAUGUUGAAUGUGUGAUUGACAAAAUUUAUCACAAUAUUUAUGUACUAUAAUGCUGCAAUUAGGAUGAGGUGAAAUAAUAUUUUGCUCCAAAGCACUUUUCGUUUCAAUACAUGUGACAUGGUGAAAACUCAUUACAAAAGAUUUCCAAGCAGUUGGUUUACAGUAGUGAUUAUUUUGAUUUGUAUUUUUAUGGCAGAAGACAAUUUCACGAAACUAUUCCGUUUUUAUCAUACAUUGAAGUUGUGGAGUGACUUAGAUAAAUCAGACCAUUCAGUGUGGUCCUUUACGUAAAAGAUAAGAAAACUAUUUCGUUUGUUGAAUGUCGUUCUACAUUUAUUUUAGUUUUGGUUAUUCAGAUAAUCAGAUCUUAAGAAAACGGUAGUAUUUUAUAUCAUGUUGAACACAGGUCAUUAUGACUUCAACUUAUUAUAAGUUUGUGAUUUUGACAGGCUUGGUAUUAACCUAGAAAAAUAUUCACACAAGCUGUAUAAAAAUCUCUCAUUCAAAUUACAAAUCUUCCAGCUUUAUUGCUCAAAAUAAGCAAUAAAUAAUUUUUAUUGAGUACACAAAUAAUCUUAUUCAUUAGGUUCCAGUUUUGUUAAUUCAAAAUUUACAAUUGUUUGAAAUUGGCCCCUUAAAACUCUUUAUCAAGUCGCAAUUUCGUAUACCUCUUUUAAAUAAUUUGUUUAAUUUUUGAAUAGUACUCUGAAGUGAGAGUGUUUUAGUAUUAAUGAAUUUCAUGCCUUUUUUAAUGAAUGUGUGUCAAAAUUGAUUUGGAAAGUAGCUUUAGCAAAAAUAAUGUUUCAUUGCAGUCACAGUUUUACUUCAAUACUCUUACAUUGAAAUGUACAGACUAGUUUAGUUGGUCGUUAGAUUUAAGUCGCAUUUAUAACCAAACCGUGCAUUGAAAAAUGCCUUCAUAUGAUAAUAUUUUUGGAUGAACAGAUUUUGUACCCAAAUCACUAUAUAUUGUUAAGAUUAAAAAGAAAUAGUAGUUUAUUUGAGUUAUAAAUCAAAAUAAAUUAUUUUUACGUUUGAAAAUAUAUAGGUAUAUUACCUACAAACAUA